rnacentral:rRNA from 1 species
UACGAAGGGGGCUAGCGUUGUUCGGAAUUACUGGGCGUAAAGCGCAUGUAGGCGGAUAUUUAAGUCAGGGGUGAAAUCCCGCAGCUCAACUGCGGAACUGCCUUUGAUACUGGAUGUCUUGAGUGUGAGAGAGGUAUGUGGAACUCCGAGUGUAGAGGUGAAAUUCGUAGAUAUUCGGAGGAACACCAGUGGCGAAGGCGGCUCACUGGUCCAUUACUGACGCUGAGGUGCGAAAGCGUGGGGAGCAAACAGG